AGAGUUUGAUCCUGGCUCAGAUUGAACGCUGGCGGCAGGCCUAACACAUGCAAGUCGAACGGUAACGGGAAGAAGCUUGCUUCUUUGCUGACGAGUGGCGGACGGGUGAGUAAUGUCUGGGAAACUGCCUGAUGGAGGGGGAUAACUACUGGAAACGGUAGCUAAUACCGCAUAACGUCGCAAGACCAAAGAGGGGGACCUUCGGGCCUCUUGCCAUCGGAUGUGCCCAGAUGGGAUUAGCUAGUAGGUGGGGUAACGGCUCACCUAGGCGACGAUCCCUAGCUGGUCUGAGAGGAUGACCAGCCACACUGGAACUGAGACACGGUCCGGACUCCUACGGGAGGCAGCAGUGGGGAAUAUUGCACA
rnacentral:rRNA from 1 species